AGAGUUUGAUCCUGGCUCAGGACGAACGCUGGCGGUGUGCUUCACACAUGCAAGUCGAGCGAAUGAAGUAGGUAGCUUGCUACUUAUGGAUUUAGCGGCGGACGGGUGAGUAAUAUAUAGGAAUCUGCCUUAGAGCGGGGAACAACAGACCGAAAGGUUUGCUAAUGCCCCAUAGGUAUGCAGUCUUCGGAUUGUAUAUUAAAGGAGUAAUCCACUCUAAGAUGAGCCUGUAUCCGAUUAGCUAGUUGGCGGGGUAAAGGCCCACCAAGGCUACGAUCGGUAGUUGGUCUGAGAGGAUGAUCAGCCACAAUGGGACUGAGACACGGCCCAUACUCCUACGGGAGGCAGCAGUGGGGAAUUUUACACAAUGGGGGAAACCCUGAUGUAGCGACACCGCGUGAACGAAGAAGCCUUUUGGGGUGUAAAGUUCUGUCGGCUGGAACGAAAAAAAUGACGGUACCAGCAAAGGAAGCAUCGGCUAACUACGUGCCAGCAGCCGCGGCAAGACGUAGGAUGCAAGCGUUGUCCGGAUUUAUUGGGCGUAAAGAGUUCGUAGGCGGUUAUUUAAGUCUGAUGUUAAAUACUGUGGCCCAACCACAGAACUGCAUUGGAUACUGGAUGACUUGAGUGCGGUAGAGGCAAGUGAAAUUCCCAGUGUAGCGGUGAAAUGCGUAGA
rnacentral:rRNA from 1 species